rnacentral:rRNA from 1 species
UGGGGAAUAUUGCACAAUGGGGGAAACCCUGAUGCAGCGACGCCGCGUGAACGAAGAAGGUCUUCGUAUCGUAAAGUUCUGUCCUAUGGGAAGAUAAUGACAGUACCAUAGAAGAAAGCUCCGGCUAAAUACGUGCCAGCAGCCGCGGUAAUACGUAUGGAGCGAGCGUUGUCCGGAAUUAUUGGGCGUAAAGGGUACGCAGGCGGUUUAAUAAGUCGAAUGUUAAAGAUCGGGGCUCAACCCCGCAAAGCAUUGGAAACUGAUAAACUUGAGUAGUGGAGAGGAAAGUGGAAUUCCUAGUGUAGUGGUGAAAUACGUAGAUAUUAGGAGGAAUACCAGUAGCGAAGGCGACUUUCUGGACACAAACUGACGCUGAGGUACGAAAGCGUGGGGAGCAAACAGG